rfam:Drosophila willistoni strain TSC#14030-0811.24 scf2_1100000004943 genomic scaffold, whole genome shotgun sequence.
CCAUCCGUUAUUCGCCGAAUGUCCAAUUAUAAUUUGGCGAUUGCCAAACAAAACGUAAAAUAUAGCAAGUCCUCCGUAAUGUUGAGCUCAUUAUUGCCAGAGCUUUUACAUUAUUAUACGUGCGAUCCUU